UACGUAGGUGGCAAGCGUUGUCCGGAUUUACUGGGCGUAAAGGGCGCGUAGGCGGCCAUCUAAGUCAGACGUGAAAUCCCCCGGCUUAACCUGGGAACUGCGUCUGAUACUGGAAGGCUUGAGUAUGGGAGAGGGAUGUAGAAUUCCAGGUGUAGCGGUGAAAUGCGUAGAUAUCUGGAGGAAUACCGGUGGCGAAGGCGGCAUCCUGGACCAUUACUGACGCUGAGGCGCGAAAGCGUGGGGAGCAAACAGG
rnacentral:rRNA from 1 species